AUUGAACGCUGGCGGCAGGCCUAAUACAUGCAAGUCGAGCGAGCGGCGGACGGGUGAGUAAUGUAUGGGGACUGCCCGAUAGAGGGGGAUAACUACUGGAAACCGUAGCUAAUACCGCAUACUAUCGGAUAACCCAUAUGGGAUUAGCUAGAUGGUCGGGUAAUGGCUUACCAAGGGGACGAACCCUAGCUGGUCUGAGAGGGUGAUCAGCCACACUGGGACUGAGACACGGCCCAGACUCCUACGGAGGCAGCAGUGGGGAAUAUUGCACAAUGGGCGCAAGCCUGAUGCAGCCAUGCCGCGUGUGUGAAGAAGGCCCUAGGGUUGUAAAGUACUUUCAGUAGGGAGGCGUUACCGACAGAGGAAGCACCGGCUAACUCCGUGCCAGCAGCCGCGGUAAUAC
rnacentral:rRNA from 1 species